rnacentral:misc_RNA from 1 species
CGUGCGUCUUGCCGGCGCACCUCCACUCCCGAGUCUCUGCCCCCGCUUCCCCCCCCCGCACUCGUCCCACGCAGUCGGCCGGCUUCUCGUUCUCCUUUUCUGCACCGUCGCGUGCUUCGCAGCUCACGUCUCGCGCCCCCUUUCUUCAUCUCUCUUUUUUUUCCUCUUGCGCACAAAGCGCAGCGGCGAAAAGCUGACAGAAAAAAAAUAACGAUGGGGCUUGACAUUCUCGAGAUCGACACGACCACCCCCCACCCCGGCGUCACGAUUGACGGCACUACCGCGCAGCGCGAGACAAACGGCGGGUGGGUGACGCUGCGGGCGAAGACGCCGCUGUCGGCCACGAAUCAUCAGUGGGCCAUUCGAAUUAUUGAUCAAGGCGAAGGCGCAGAUGGGUCUGGCUUGAUGAUAGGCCUGCUUCCCCAGCUCAGCGCGCAGCUGGCAAGCGCGACCGGUAGCAAGUACAUUUCUGAGCUCGGCGGCUGGUGUCUCUCGCGGGCUGGCGACACCUACGGCGCGUGGAAGUGCGACCGGUUCCCCUACUCGACGGACUGCGUCGUUGAAUUCGAUUGGGACGCCGUGACGGGCACCCUGUGCAUGGUGAGCGGGAACAAGAAGGGUACCGGCCACAUCCCCGGCCUCAAAGAGAGCGACGCGCUGUACCCAGCCGUCUCCAUGUACUACCUGAACCAGAAGGUGGCGUUUGUGUAGCGACCUAUUGGUGCCGCGUUUGACAAAUAGCGUUUCGACUUCCCCGCGCUUGCUGGACCAUUUGCUACCAGUGGCAUGGCCGCUGCCGUUGCUGGGGCUGCUGCUCUCUUGGAUUCUGUUCUUGCCGUCUACCCCAUCGUUCUCAGCGCUGAGGGGCGCCGUGCAGCGCGGUGUUUCUUCUCUGCUCUUGUCGGCGUCUGCGUGCACCCGUUCGUGCCUUGGUCACCUCCCACUCCAAGGUGCCGCUGCCCCUGCGGCCUUUUCUCCCUCCUUCCACACAGCAUCUUUGUUUUUAGUUUGCCGCACCAGCAGCCGCACGUGACAAAUCAGCGACCAACGGACGUGAAUGCCGCAGAGAAGAUAAAGGCAACUCGAAGGCACACCAACACAAGGGCCGUGGGGACGAGCUGGUUGGUGAUGGCCCAGCUGAGCACCCUGAACCCUUGCUCCCACUCCUUGUCUGAACAGAGCGCCGAGUAACACGGCUCUCUGUGCGAGUGUCCGUGAUUAUUCCACUUGGACCAAACAAACAACGGCAGCGAAACAAGAAGGAACAGUGCGGAUGUGCCUCCCCCGUGCACGUGUGCGUGUCUCUCUCCUGCCUCUUUGGUUGGUCUGGCAAACGAUCCGCAUCACUCAUUUGCCCCUUUCUUCCAGGCGACCUCCUGCUGAUGCUGCCUUUUACUUUCCGUCACCCCGUCUCUCUCGCACACGGCGGAUCUUGUCUUUUGCCUGCCCUGCUCCCCAUCUCUUUUUUUUUUGUUCCUUCCCUGAUAG